GAUGAAGAACGUAGCGAAAUGCGAUAAUUAAUGUGAAUUGCAGAAUUUAGUGAAUCAUCGAAUCUUUGAACGCACAUUGCGCCCGCCAGUAUUCUGGCGGGCAUGCCUGUUCGAGCGUCAUUUCAACCCUCAGGCCCCCAGUGCCUGGUGUUGGGGAUCGGCCCAGCCUUCCUGUAAGGCCGCCGGCCCCGAAAUCUAGUGGCGGUCUCGCUGUAGUCCUCCUCUGCGUAGUAGCACAACCUCGCAGUUGGAACGCGGCGGUGGCCAUGCCGUUAAACACCCCACUUCUGAAAGUUGACCUCGGAUCAGGUAGGAAUACCCGCUGAACUUAAGCAUAUCAAUAAGCGGAGGA
rnacentral:misc_RNA from 1 species